rnacentral:lncRNA from 1 species
UUUAAUUUGUUGUUAAAUUUCUGAUUUUUUGUUUUGUAACUUUAGUAUUCGAUUUAAGGGUAAAAAAGAGAGUGCAAUGAUUGUUGAGUUGGUUUGUAAUAUUUGGCGUUUUUAGAUUGAACAACCAUCUAUGUCUGUGAAAAAUGAUUUUGUAGUUGAAUAAUCAUUUUGUUUUGGUAUUUAUUGUCGGUAAAUUUGCCCCUUCAGUACCUG